rnacentral:rRNA from 1 species
CGGCGAGCGAACGGGGAGCAGCCCAGAGCCUGAAUCAGUGUGUGUGUUAGUGGAAGCGUCUGGAAAAGCGCGCGAUACAGGGUGACAGCCCCGUACACAAAAAUGCACAUGCUGUGAGCUCGAUGAGUAGGGCGGGACACGUGGUAUCCUGUCUGAAUAUGGGGGGACCAUCCUCCAAGGCUAAAUACUCCUGACUGACCGAUAGUGAACCAGUACCGUGAGGGAAAGGCGAAAAGAACCCCGGCGAGGGGAGUGAAAAAGAACCUGAAACCGUGUACGUACAAGCAGUGGGAGCACAGAGCAAUCUGUGUGACUGCGUACCUUUUGUAUAAUGGGUCAGCGACUUAUAUUCUGUAGCAAGGUUAACCGAAUAGGGGAGCCGAAGGGAAACCGAGUCUUAACUGGGCGUUAAGUUGCAGGGUAUAGACCCGAAACCCGGUGAUCUAGCCAUGGGCAGGUUGAAGGUUGGGUAACACUAACUGGAGGACCGAACCGACUAAUGUUGAAAAAUUAGCGGAUGACUUGUGGCUGGGGGUGAAAGGCCAAUCAAACCGGGAGAUAGCUGGUUCUCCCCGAAAGCUAUUUAGGUAGCGCCUCGUGAAUUCAUCUCCGGGGGUAGAGCACUGUUUCGGCAAGGGGGUCAUCCCGACUUACCAACCCGAUGCAAACUGCGAAUACCGGAGAAUGUUAUCACGGGAGACACACGGCGGGUGCUAACGUCCGUCGUGAAGAGGGAAACAACCCAGACCGCCAGCUAAGGUCCCAAAGUCAUGGUUAAGUGGGAAACGAUGUGGGAAGGCCCAGACAGCCAGGAUGUUGGCUUAGAAGCAGCCAUCAUUUAAAGAAAGCGUAAUAGCUCACUGGUCGAGUCGGCCUGCGCGGAAGAUGUAACGGGGCUAAACCAUGCACCGAAGCUGCGGCAGCGACGCUUAUGCGUUGUUGGGUAGGGGAGCGUUCUGUAAGCCUGCGAAGGUGUGCUGUGAGGCAUGCUGGAGGUAUCAGAAGUGCGAAUGCUGACAUAAGUAACGAUAAAGCGGGUGAAAAGCCCGCUCGCCGGAAGACCAAGGGUUCCUGUCCAACGUUAAUCGGGGCAGGGUGAGUCGACCCCUAAGGCGAGGCCGAAAGGCGUAGUCGAUGGGAAACAGGUUAAUAUUCCUGUACUUGGUGUUACUGCGAAGGGGGGACGGAGAAGGCUAUGUUGGCCGGGCGACGGUUGUCCCGGUUUAAGCGUGUAGGCUGGUU